AUUUGUGGUCCCGGAGAAGAGAUUGGCGGAGGGGAAAGACUGAGUCGUCUUUCCUUUGCCCGCUUCUGUGGACUGUUCGAACGCCCAGGGGUGGGCCAAACCCGUUUCUUAGGAAACCAGGAAUCCAGGGAAGGCAGAAUGGCUUCCUUUGGGUGGAAGAGGAAAAUUGGUGAGAAGGUCUCAAAGGUCACUUCCCAGCAGUUUGAAGCUGAAGCUGCUGAUGAGAAGGAUGUAGUUGACAACGAUGAAGGGAACUGGCUUCAUGCCAUUAAACGUAGGAAAGAAAUUCUUCUUGAAGGCUGUGCUGAGAAAAGUAAACAGCUGAAGGAUGAAGGAGCCAGUUUGGCUGAAAAUAAAAGGUGCUAAUGUCUCUUCAUGAAAUGUUCCCAGCAGUACAUGCAGCAGAAAUGGCCGUCCAGCGAAAUCCACAUUCAUGGGAGUCUUGGCAGACUUUGGGACGUGCUCAACUUGGUUUAGGAGAGAUAAUCCUGGCAAUUCGAAGUUUUCAAGUAGCCCUUCACAUCUAUCCAAUGAACCCUGAAAUAUGGAAAGAAGACCUCUCUUGGGCAAGAACGCUCCAGGAGCAGCAGAAGGUAGCACAGAGGAUUAAAAAAAGUGAAGCACCAGCUGAAGUAACACACUUUUCACCAAAGUCAAUUCCAGACUAUGACUUUGAAAGUGAUGAGAUUGUUGCUGUUUGUGCAGCUAUUGCUGAGAAAGAGAAGACAGUUUCAGCAAAUAAAACAAUGGUUAUUGUGUCUGCUUCUGGGGCCAUAGAGACUGUAACUGAAAAGGAGGAUGGUGCUACACCACCAGAUGGCUCUGUUUUUAUCAAAGCCCGAUGAAGCAGUAUGCAUAGGAUUAUUUGAAUCUGUCUUUUUGAUUGCCUUUUGAAGUUUUGACAUAGAGACAUUUACUCUGGAGAUAGAUAGGAGAACUCCUGGUUGUAAAAUAUGUUUUUCAGAUGAGGCAUAUAAAAACUAAAAUGGCAGGAUUAUUGUAUAGUGUUUGGAAUAUGCUUUGAUAAGUUAUGAUUUAUAUUUCUC
rnacentral:sRNA from 1 species